GUUGUCGGAUUCACUUUAGUCUAUGUGUGUUGGUGUGGGUUAGGGUAGAAUUUAGUUCAAAUUCCACUCCAAUCUAUCUCAACACAUGUGGAUUGAUGUGAAUCCGACU
rfam:Sorghum bicolor cultivar BTx623 chromosome 2, whole genome shotgun sequence.